AUGGCUGCCCUUUUGCUGCAAGACUUCCAAGUCUUCCACUAACAAGAAUGUUCUCUGAAAGUUCUUUCACAGCACACAAUUUACUCGCAACAUCACUUUCAUUUUGAGCUUGUUUUUUUUCUUCUUCAAAUGUUUUGUUCAUACUUCAUCCACAAGAACAUACCCUUGUAAUCCCACGAAGUGGGGUUUGAGGAAGUUAGAGCAUACGCAGUCCAUACCACUACCUCACAAGGAGUAGAGAACAAACAACUUGAUGGAAUAACAAAACCAAAAGAGAAUAACAGAACAAACCCACAGAGUAGUACUAUAAACUAUCUACAUCAACAAGACACCACGAACACAAGAAACUCCAAGACACCUGCAAAGUACUACGACUACUGGCCAGGCCACAAACAAAGCGUCCCUUCAUCCACAUGUUGGAAAAUCCAGUUACAUAUUUUCUUUUUUCUGCUAUUGAUGUUUCUUUGUACAAAAGAGUUCAUCAUGGACUUAGUUUCUUGGUUUUUUGCCUUCAUUUUCUUUCAUUUGUUGUGCUUUGAUUCAGCACAUGGACAGACCACAUACCACUCAAGCUGCACCGAGAAAUUCUACUGUGGAAUGUUUAGUAGUUUCAGUUUUCCUUUCUAUAAAUCUAGUGAACCUGAUUGUGGAUUGUGGAAGGUGGAUUGUGAUAAUCAUUUAAUUGAAUUAGAAGGGAUGAAGUUUGAAAUUCUUGAGAAAUAUGAUGUUUUUAUGAGACUUAAAGUCCCUAUUCUUGGAGACCUUUUGAAGAACAACAGUUGCCAGACGUUUGAUAAAGAUAUCACUCUCCCUUUUUCUCCUUCAAUCAGGUAUAGAACUAACAUCCUUCUCACUUUGUACAAAUGCAACAGUAGCAUCAAGACACUUGGAGAAGUUUUCGAUUCCAAAAUUUUUCAAAGCUAUGCCUGUGGUUAAGUGAUAGAUUCACGCUAUCAUGGACUGUGUCUGAAGAGUGUAAUGCGUGUUAUUAUCGAGGAGGCAUGUGUCAAACAAAUAAUGCUACUAAGGAGUUUUACUGUCGUAAUACCAGCAAAGUUGCAGGUUAUCGUAGAAAUAUGAGAGUGAUUGUUGCAGUUGCAAGUUCCAUUUUCACUUGUGCUGGGAUCCUGAUUUGGCUUUUCGGCUUCAAAAUAAAGAUUUCCUGGCACAAAUGCCUCAGUUUUUGGGAA